rnacentral:rRNA from 1 species
GAUGAACGCUGGCGGCGUGCCUCAAACAUGCAAGUCGAGCGAGGCUAUGAAUUACCGCAAGGUAAGGCAUAGCCUAGCGGCGAACGGGUGAGUAACACGUGGGUAACCUGCCCAUAAGAGGGGGAUAACAUCCGGAAACGGGUGCUAAUACCGCAUAGGUUUCUUGGUCGCAUGAUCGAGAAAGGAAGACGGCCUUUGUGCUGUCGCUUAUGGAUGGACCCGCGGCGUAUUAGGUUAGUUGGUGAGGUAAUGGCUCACCAAGACGAUGAUACGUAGCCGACCUGAGAGGGUGAUCGGCCACAUUGGGGACUGAGACACGGGCCCAAAAUCCUACGGGAGGCCAGCAGUAGGGAAAUCUUCCGCAAAUGGACGAAAGUCUGACGGAGCAACGCCGCGUGAGUGAAGAAGGUUUUU